rnacentral:tRNA from 1 species
UGGCUCAGUUGGUAGAGCAUGGUGUUUGCAGCACGAGGGUUGUGGGUUCAAUUCCCAU